UUCGGAAGAAAGCGUUCUUUCCAAUUUCUGUACACAAUUUUGAGCUAGUUUUAUUGUUUUAUUAAUUUCAAGACCUUCGUUAAACGAACUAUAGUGAUAUUUAUUUAGUAGGAUUACGUAAAUUAAAUUUGACUUGGUUUUGGUCCAACACACACUCGCGCCCACAUUUGUAACUCAGUUAAUAAUUUUCUGGUAUACAUACACACUGGUUACGCAUUCAGUUUGGCUUAUGCUUUUAGUUUUCCAUUUUUUUGUACCAAGUAAAAAAUUAAGACGAAAGGACAUAAAUUGGGGGCGUUUGAAUAGUUAUUUCAAUGUGGUACAGUUUCCAUUAUCAUGUUUCAACCUAGCUCCGAGUGAGUGUGUUUCUUCCAGGAUCUUUCUAGUUUCAUUCGCAGGAAUAUUUUUCGUAUUGUGUCGAUGUUCUGUUACAAAACCUAUGUUGUUUUUUGGACACGUUGCUCCUUCACAAUCCUAAUUAUUUUCUCUCUUUUUUCUCUUCCGCUUAGGGUGUUUAGAUGGCCAUCUAAAGGGUAAAAACGUAAAAACAGUGUAACUUUUAGCUUUAGAGAUCAGUUCGAAACCUACGCCUUCAAACUCGUUCGAACCGUUUUCCGAAGCAAAAACAUAAAUAGUACCGGUCGCUCCGGCGCAAAGAUGAAACAAUGAUUUCCUUCUAAUCGAAAUGCUUACGUCUUACGCUCAGUAAGAGGAAAAAGAUUAUUGGAAAAUCAUAAAAUAAGUGUUUUCAUGGUUGACUCGUUUGUCAAGCUGUAAAACACAAUGAAACACACAAAUAUUCAUCUUAACGUUUUACAAGCCGUUAGUUUUGAAAGGCAUGUAAAAUGUUGCAAAUUAAGCAAAAUAAAUAAAUUGGUAACGUUUUACGCGCCUUAACCAGUCUAAAAAAAACACAAAUUGUUAAAUUUCGUAUAACAGGUGAAAUGUUAUACGAAACUUAGCAAUUG